AAUAGAUACCCCGGUAGUCCACGCCGUAAACGAUGAGUACUAGUUGUCGGGGGUAUCGACCCCCUCGGUAACGAAGCUAACGCGAUAAGUACUCCGCCUGGGGACUACGGCCGCAAGGCUAAAACUCAAAGGAAUUGACGGGGGGCCCGCACAAGCAGCGGAGCGUGCGGUUUAAUUCGAAGCGACGCGAAGAACCUUACCAGGGCUUGACAUGUUGAGGACCGCCGGUGAAAGUCGGCUUCCCUUCGGGGCCUCAUCACAGAUGCUGCAUGGUCGUCGUCAGCUCGUGCCGUGAGGUGUUGGGUUAAGUCCCGCAACGAGCGCAACCCCUGUCGCCAGUUGUACUUCUCUGGCGAGACUGCCCGGAGCAACCGGGAGGAAGGCGGGGAUGAUGUCAGAUCAGCAUGGCUCUUACGUCCUGGGCCACUCGCACGCUACAAUGGGCAGUACAGACCGUUGCGAAACCGUGAGGUGAAGCUAAUCGGAUAAAGCUGUCCUCAGUUCGGAUUGCAGGCUGCAACCCGCCUGCAUGAAGCCGG
rnacentral:rRNA from 1 species